UACGUAGGGCGCAAGCGUUAUCCGGAAUUAUUGGGCGUAAAGAGCUCGUAGGCGGUUUGUCGCGUCUGCCGUGAAAGUCCGGGGCUCAACUCCGGAUCUGCGGUGGGUACGGGCAGACUAGAGUGAUGUAGGGGAGACUGGAAUUCCUGGUGUAGCGGUGAAAUGCGCAGAUAUCAGGAGGAACACCGAUGGCGAAGGCAGGUCUCUGGGCAUUAACUGACGCUGAGGAGCGAAAGCAUGAGCGAACAGG
rnacentral:rRNA from 1 species